rnacentral:rRNA from 1 species
CACCUCUAGCAUUACCAGUAUUAGAGGCACUGCCUGCCCAGUGACAUUAGUUAAACGGCCGCGGUAUCCUGACCGUGCAAAGGUAGCAUAAUCAUUUGUUCCUUAAUUAGGGACUUGUAUGAACGGCCCCACGAGGGUUUAACUGUCUCUUACUUUCAAUCAGUGAAAUUGACCUUCCCGUGAAGAGGCGGGAAUACAAAAAUAAGACGAGAAGACCCUAUGGAGCUUAAAUUAAUAUGUUCAACAGAAUUUAAUUAUAAUCCAAUAGGAAUAAAAAUAUUCUAACUGAACAAUAAAUUUUGGUUGGGGUGACCUCGGAGUAUAACAUAACCUCCGAGCAAUUAAAUCAAGACUUACCAGUCAAGGCCAUAUAACUUAUUGAUCCAAUCUUAUUGAUCAACGAAACAAGUUACCCUAGGGAUAACAGCGCAAUCCUAUUUAAGAGUUCAUAUCGACAAUAGGGUUUACGACCUCGAUGUUGGAUCAGGACACCCAAAUGGUGCAGCAGCUAUUAAAGGUUCGUUUGUUCAACG